rnacentral:tRNA from 1 species
ACUUAUAUAGUAUAAAAAAUUAUAUUUAACUUCCAAUUAAAAGAUUUAAUUUAAAUUAAUAUAAGUA